GUGAGUGUGGCUCAGUGACAGAGUGCUAGUCUAGCACACAAAAGGUUCUAGGUUCGAUGCCCAGCACAGACU
rnacentral:tRNA from 1 species